rnacentral:RNase_P_RNA from 3 species
GAAGCUGGCUAGACAGUCGCUGCGCGCGCAAGCGCGGAGAGGAAAGUCCGGGCUCCAUAGAGCAGGAUGCCGGUUAACGACCGGAGGCCGUGAGGCCAUGGAAAGUGCCACAGAAAAUACACCGCCGAUGGCCGCGCAAGCGGAUCAGGUAAGGUUGAAAUGGCGAGGUAAGAGCUCACCGCGCACCCGGCAACGGGAGUGGCAGGGUAAACCCCAUCCGGAGCAAGACCAAAUAGGCAGGCGUUGAGGCGGCUCGUCGAGCCUGCGGGUAGGUUGCUUGAGUUCACGGGUAACCGUGCGCCUAGAGGAAUGACUGUCCACGACAGAACCCGGCUUAUCGGCCAGCUUCACCC